AUGGGCGGGGCGAAGGCGGAGCCACGCCUCUUCCCUGGGGCGGGGCGGGGCCAAGAAGUGUCUGUGUGUCGUUCGUGUCCGUGUGUCGUUCGUGUCCGUGUUCCUGUCGCUGUCGCCUGCCUUUGUCAGCCGCUGGCCCUGCCCCUGACCCAUACCUACCCCUGUUCCAUCUCCUUACCAGCCGCUGUCCGGGUUGCAUCCCUGCCCCUGUUCCACCGUUGUCUCAACCCUUGUCCCUGUCUUCUGCCCUUGUCCCCGCCCGUUCCUGUUCCAUCCCCGCCCCUGUCCUGUCCCCUCUCUGCCCCUGUUGCUGCUCCUGCUCCUGCUCCUGUCCCUGUCCCUGUCCCUGUCCCUAUCCAUUUACCUGUCCCUGUCGCAUUCCCUGUGCCAUCUCUGUUCCUGCCCUGUCCCUAUCCCUUUACCUGCUCCAGUCCCUGCUUCUCUCCCUGUCCCUGUCCGCAGGGAUCUGUUCGCAGCUCCUGCCCUGCCCAGCAGCUCCUCCAGCGCCUCCUGCCCCUCUCCCAGCCGUGCAUCUUGCCAGGGCUCCCCAAGGGGCUGGAUAAAGAUGGUGAGUGGGAGACGGAGAGGCCAUUUCAUCCCACACCCUUCAGCCCCUUCUCUCAGCAGCUACGGCCACCUCACUCUCCCGGGGGGCUCAGGGGACAUUCCCGCUGGGUUUUCAGCCUUUUGAGCAAUCCUUCUUCUGAAAUUGAGGGGUUUUGUCCAGAAUGGGCGUGGUGUGUACGUGAUGAAGGAUAUGGAGAAUUUCUUUUUCAGUUUGGAUUCUCACAGCAUCCUUGUUUUUGGGGUUGGUUGGAUGAAAAGGCUGAAUAAAGGUCAUAAACCCAAUGUUGUACCAGGAAGAUGUGUGACUGAUUCCAUGUAACUUGAGGCACCAUCAGACAUGAGGUGGUCAGAAGUGUUUUUUUCUUAAAGCCUGUCUGCAUAUCAUAUGUUUUCCUUGUUUCUCUGCAACACCACAGGCAAGGAGCAAUUGCUGUGUUUGGAUCACAUGAAUCUUUGCCUCUGAAAUAAUAGAAGAAAGUGUAUGGUCCAUGUGGACAUCAGAAAAAGCACUCAUCCUUCCACAUGGGUCUCAAAGGGAUGUAAUGAAAUGCAAAUACAGUGUUAUAUCCUUCAUUCCCCAGCAAUAAGUGAUUUCCCUGAUGGAAUGUGUGGGAAAAUGACUGGGUGUAAAAUUAGAGAAAACUGGGGAGUUAUAUUCGCAUUCUAACAGAAGUUAGUACAGAAAACAGAGGGUGAAGCGCAGUUGUGACUCCCUGGAUGUGAUGUGGUCAGCACACCCAACUUCCCACAUGCAAUCCAUGCUAAAGGGGACUGAAGGGAGUGGAGUGGAGUGGAGACACCAGGGCCUGAUGAAAUCCUAGCAAGAGGGGAGUUCAGUGAUGCAGAUGAACUGUAUAGCAGCUGAAAACCAGGGGGAAAAGGAGAUGCUUUGCUGCUGAACCAGAGCAAGAUCACAAAUGCCCACCUCCAUCCCAGAGGCUACCUCAGGUGUGACACUGACAUUGCCCACCUCCAAGGGACAACCAUCCCACACUGAACAUGAUGUAUGAUUGAAGUUACUCAAGCUAGCUCAAAAAUAGUAUAAAAGUAAGUUAAAAAUCAGGAGAAGUUAGGAAGGGUUCCACUGUAACUUCUGGGAUUGACUGAUCAGGCUGAACCUGUAAGAACUGUACUCUAUGUAUGGUGAUUGUUUAUCUCAAUUGCUCUGAAUACGUUUUUGCAGACAGAUAUUAUCACCAACAAUCUUUGCACCUUAAUCUAUCACAGUUUUCUGUUACAUUAAUAAAAGAUUAUUAUUAUGUAAACUGUCCUUCAAGGUGUGAGUCCUUCAAGAGCAUUAACAGUGGGUAAGAUACUUGACUGUGGAGACAUAGGAGAGAGUUUCUCUAAUGCUUUUGCUAUGUAUUCCUGGAUAUUUUCUAGUCUCUUGGUGCCAAGAGAGCAGCUAGAGGAGUGGAAGCCCUCAAAGAGUUUUUUUGUGUUUCCAUGUGACCCUGAACAAGUCAGUUGAACCACCUUCUGAUCCAGUGGACUGUUCAGUGAAGAGUUGGACAUUAGGGAGAAUGUCUUCUCAGAAUGGGUGAUUAGACAUUGGGAAUGAGCUGCUCAGGGAGGUGGAGGAGUCACUGUUCUGGAGCUCUUUAGAGAAAGACUGGACAUAGCAGUCAUUUCCAUGGUCUGGUUGACAAAGUGCUGUUCACUCAUAGGUUGGACUGGGUGAGCUUAGAAGUCUUUUCCGACCUAAUUGAUUCUGUGAUUCUGUCCCCAUAGUGGGACCCUGGCAGACUGGUCGAGCACAAGUGUCUCGGCUUUCCUUGGGCGCUGACAGUCAGAUCAAACACGCAGGGUUUGGGAGAAUCUCGGCUUCCCGGGAGGGAUUCCCAAACCCCCACUUGCCCUGAGCCCGUCCCGCCGCUAGGGGACGCCACACCCCCACGACGCUGGUUCCGCUGCCAUGGUAACAGCAGGAGGGGCGCGGCCAGCUUGCCGUCUGGCUGCUAGGCAGCGGAGCACAGGGGUGGGGCGGAACCUCCGCCGCAAAGCGACUGUUCGUAAAAAGGAGGGGAAAAAAAAAAAAAAACCAACCUAAAUCCCGUGGUGUUGUAAAAUGCCGUGAGGCGCGGCCGGCGGGGCCUGAGGGACAGAGCCCGGGCCCGGUCCCGCUCCAUAUGCCCCGAACCGCCCCGUCUCGCUCCAUGUGCGGCCGCUCCUCGUCCAC
ensembl:lncRNA